rnacentral:rRNA from 2 species
CACCUGUUUAUCAAAAACAUGUCUUUUUGAAUUUUUUUUAAAGUCUGACCUGCCCACUGAAUUUUUUUAAAUGGCCGCAGUAUACUAACUGUGCAAAGGUAGCAUAAUCAUUAGUCUUUUAAUUGAAGGCUGGUAUGAAUGGUUGGACGAGAUAUUAACUGUUUCAUAAAAAUUUAUAAUAGAAUUUUAUUUUUUAGUCAAAAAGCUAAAAUUUAUUUAAAAGACGAGAAGACCCUAUAAAUCUUUAUAUUUAUAUUAUUAUAAUUUUGUAGAUUUUUUUUGUUAUGAUAAUAGAUGAUAUUUUAUUGGGGUGAUAUUAAAAUUUAAUAAACUUUUAAUUGUUUAAAUCAUUAAUUUAUGAAUAAUUGAUCCGUUAUUAGCGAUUAAAAAAACAAGUUACUUUAGGGAUAACAGCGUAAUUUUUUUGGAGAGUUCAUAUCGAUAAAAAAGAUUGCGACCUCGAUGUUGGAUUAAGAUAUAAUUUUAGGUGUAGCCGCUUAAAUUUUAAGUCUGUUCGACUUUUAAAUUCUUACGUGAUCUGAGUUCAGACCGG